CUACUUUUGGUGUCCCCCUCAGGAAUUGCUCUUGAGAAAAUUUCAUGUAAUUGUCCCCUCCAAAGUUGACAUCAGAUUUUCGCCCCUGAUUACAUAUAACUGAGUUUUUAAUUUAAUGUAUACAUUUCUCCAUAUUGAUGUUCACUCAUUUUGACAAAGGCAACUUAUAACUACUACCACUGAUGCCACAUGGUCAAGGUGUCAUGUGUAACUCCCAGAUGAAUGAGUCAGGGAAUGGGUAAUUAAGGGGUGGGCCAUGUGAAUCUCCCUCAGGGCACUGACAAGGCUCUACAAGCCCUCCUUAUUACGAUUAUGGCCCUAGUUCCCUCCUCACACAGGUAGGAAAGAGGACAGUGUUUCACAACCCUGACCUGUGAUAAUCACUAUGAAAUCUGAGCACAUUAAUGAUUAUCUUCCACAUAGGGAUUCUCAUUGACAGAGUCACCACCACAGUCAAUAACAUUUAUGAGGAAGGCCAUGUUCUAAUUCCCUCCCAAAUCACUAAAGGGCCAUCAUGAUGAUUUUGUCCAAUUUAUUUGAAGGGUAAUACUUUUAUUUGUGCUGCUAUCAAUGAAGUUAAAGAUUUGAAUGCAGCCACUAAGUGUAAGUUGACUUUCUGCCUUUCAUACACCAGCAGUCCAAUUCUAAUGCUGCGAGGAUUUGACAUAGUCUAUAAUUAUAGCUGAAAGCCUAUAUGACUGUAGGAGGUUGAUGCAUUCUCUGGCAAGACCCAGGAGACAUUUGAUUUUAUCUGUGUCAUUAAACAGCAAAGUGCUUAAAAAUCAAAUAAACAUGGCAAUAAAAGUGGUUGGGUUCUCUUUUAGAUAAUUUUUUUUGAGGUUCAUGAAACAAAAGGAAGUGUGAUAGGUGAAUAAUAGCUGUGAAAGAAUUCAAUGUGAAGGUAAACUUGAGAUUUCAGAAGCAGUAAAACUCUCAAUCUGAGAGGGAUACAGUAUGUAAUUGUCACGUCCUGACCCUAGUAAGAUGUCAUUUUCUAUAGUAGAGUAGGUGACAUCUAUAGUAGAGUUUGUGUUUUUUUCUAGGUUUGUGUUCUAGGUUUUCUAUUUCUAUGUUGUUGUUUUUUUGGGUUGAUUUCCAAUUAGAGGCAGCUGGUCCUCGUUGCCUCUGAUUGGAGAUCAUAUUCAUGUAAGGGGUUUUCCUUUUGUAUUUUGUGGGUUGUUAUCUUUUGAGUAGUGUUUGUUUCUCUCUGCGUCACGGUUUGUUGUUUUUGUAAAUUCAGUUAUUUUGUGUAUUGAAAAAGUUUCACGGAUUUUAUCAAAUGUGGAACUACAACCACGCUGCACUUUGGUCUGAUCCUUUUGACAGCCAUGACAGUAAUUCAACUGUAGGAAUAGAUUGUUACUCAAUCGCUCUUCCCUCUGACAACAGCAUGUCUUUCAGUGAGUCAAGGACAAUUAUCAUACCCUUAGCUUGUCAAGAUGUGUCGGAGGAACUACAAUUUUAUCUAUUUUCAAAACAAGUGGGUGGACAGAUGCUAUAGAGUCUAUUUCUCUGAGAGGGGGUGUAUUGCAUAGUGACAGAAAAGCCAGAGACAAGAAGAAAUGACGGAUAAGUGAGAGUUAAGCAACUUUGACCUUCAAAGACUUCAACUAACAUUGUUUUUGUCUGGUCCAAACUCAGUAUCCUAUAAUUCUAUAUGAGGAUACUAGGGGAAUUUGAGGAAAAUGUUUACAGGGAAAUAAAAGGCAAGUUUGAGGAUUGGGUACGUGGGUGUUCUAGUAUCACUCCAGAUGUUAUUCUUUGACGAAAGGAAAGUCUCAAGAAAUAUACAAGAGAUGGAAGAUAAUAGAAGCAAGGUUAUAAAACACACAAAAGUAUGAAAUGUAUGGAAUUCAAGGGCAACAUUUUAGAAUAAGAUGCCCUUUAUGUCAUGGUUAGUUUGAUAAGGGGGAAUGCAGUACUAAUUAUUGUCCCUGUUUACUGAAAUAAACAAGAAAUAGAACAUCAUUUCCAUAUAAGGGAAUAAAUCAAACAUGGAGUUUAUAAAAAAUAACUAGAGGCCUUUCCAGAUGACUGACAAAAGUGAAACUGAAAAGUCAUCUGAAGCUGCUUGCAUUUGCCCGAACCAUCAGCAUAAUUCCUCACUCAAACCAGAGCAAAAAGGCCAGUCUGCACAUGUUCUAGUGCAAACCUGACACUACAUGACAUUAGGCAUGAAAAGAAACCCAGAGGAAUGAUCCAUGUUAUCAUACAAUUGAGAUGUGAGACACUCCUCUGGCUCAGAAAUGUGCAAGACCUAAACACAGCUUGAGGUUAGUUCAAGUGCUUUAAAUCUGUAUGAGUAAACCACUCAGGAAAAGAGAGGCAGGAAGUCAAACAGAGAAGACUGUGAUUUUAAGAGCUUUAACAAGAUGGUAAAGUGGAGCUGAGAACCAGUACUGAGGUAAAGGCUCAGUGUGAUCAGAAUGUGUCCCUGCAGUGUGACAUCAUGUCACCGAGCCCACUCAAGAUCAUUCUCUUUUCCUGGGUAAGGAAAGGGAAACAGCUGUGUGUGGUCAAUGCCACUGGUGUAUUCUCCUUUCCUGGCGUCCGGUGUGACAACACAAACAACACCCUCACACUCAAUCUGACUCGGGUGAUGCCGUCCAGUCAGGGUAACUACACCUGCAAACUGCGCUCCAACCUAACGAUCACAGCUGCCAACACCACUGUGACAAUGCAAGAGUGCCUAAGGACAUCUGAGCACAAAGUGUUCCAGAAUGAGUCUCAGGUUGAGUGCCAGUUAUUUGGAGUUUACCCAGAAGGCACAGUACACUGGUUCCUGGGCUCUGAGAAUAUAACAGAGUCCGCCAGCACAAAGAGCCAGCUGGAUGAAGAGGGGCUGUUUGAUAUAAGGAGUACCCUGCCUACCCAGGCUGGGACUGAGCCUUACAACUGCUCCUUGUGGAUACCUAGUAGUGGAACCUACAGCUCUCACAAACAGCUGCACUACUCCAGGGGGCUCUCUUCAGGGACAAAGACUAGGAGCAGACUGCUGUUGUUCUUCAUCCUGGUUGGACUCAUAAUCAUAAUUUAGGACUACUCAUGGGAAGGUCAGGAGUUUUUUUACUGAAUAUGGGACUUCGAACUACAGUAGGGCAAAGGGCUUUUCUGGUCAGGGCACAUCUACACAGGAUGGAUCAGGGCCUUUCUCUUACUGAGUGAAGAGAAAGCAAACCUGGACUGCCAUGGCCAAAGUAGAUAUAUGUUUUCACUUAUUAUACUGGGAAGCAAAAUAUCAAAGAAAUUGCAAUAAAUACAAUUGAAUUUUAAAGCUGAAAAUCAUUGUACAUUGGGAUUUGAGAAUACUGUAAGAAGUAUUCAUCCGUUCAUCGUUUGUCUUCAACGUUAUACACUUGCUUAAAUUGCAUUGCUUAUUACAGUAGUAGAGUACUGCUUCCUGGUGGUGAAAGUGUUUACUGAUGGAAAUAGUAUUGAUGUUAGAUGAGUAAUAAAGCUGUUCUAAAUUGUAUUGUUGAAUUGACUGAUCUUGCUUAUUAAGUCUGUCAUAUCUUGUUGCUGUGUUUUCCAGUCAGCACUGAUUAGACUGAUUAUAUAAUCAAUCAAUGCAAUGUCAAAACAUGGCUAGAAGGACAUGUUACUGUGUGUUCUGGAUUCUAAAAUACAACUUGAAUUGUACCAUAGCAAAUAUAGUCACCCGUGUUGUUUUCUGUACUAGUUCUCAAUUUAAAAAUGAACCAGACCACCCUGGGUACUCAUGACAUUGACAGUAAAAGAAUGAGGACUCAUGGUCAUUCAAAUUGCAUUUCUAGUUCCUUCUCAGUGUACCACAAGGGGGCAGAGUCAUCCCACCAGAGAGGACUGUCAAACCAAUCAUACACAACUCUUCUCCCUCUGCAUACAAACACACACUCAUGCUGUGUGAAUUCCAAUCCAACUGUUCUGUAUAAAUCAACACUUUGAUGUGACACAUUUCCUAUCAAUUUCCUCUACGCCAAUGUGGGUCUCCUGCAAAGUGAAGGAGUGAAGGGUAAAAUGUCUGUCAUUAUAAAACACUCAAAUAAAUCCACAUGACUUCUGUGGUGUCAAACUCACAUCUCUAAUGCAUUAUCCAGGUGCGAGGAUAUGUAAUGUGUUUUAGAUGGACUGACCUUGUUGCACAUGUUGUGUGGGCUGCUGUGAGAGAUGUUAAAAGUACCUGUUGAGUACACAGUAUAACAACACAUGCAUUUUUCUGAUAAAUAGGUACAUUUCCCCAACAAUUGUGAGGAUUCCUGCAAAGUGGGAUGUCAUUAUCAAACACUAUGAGUCCUGUUGUCAUUAUCAAACACUCAUCAAUAUGAUGAGUACUGUUGUCAUUAUCAAACACUCAUCAAUAUGAUGAGUCCUGUUGUCAUUAUCAAACACUCAUCAAUAUGAUGAGUCCUGUUGUCCCAAGCAGGGCAUGAUCAGAAAUAUAGUGUUUUAAAUCGACUGACAGUUUGUUUCAGUAAAAUCAAACAUUAUCUAGAAUGGAGAUGAUGGUGUUGUGUCUUUGCAUCAUUAAAACGGAAGACAUGUUUAUCAAAUAACUUUCUGUAAUUAUUAUUACGCGAUUAAACUGAUUAAUCGUGUAACUGUAAUUAACUAGGAGGUCGGGG
rnacentral:lncRNA from 1 species